rnacentral:rRNA from 1 species
AUUGAACGCUGGCGGCAGGCCUAACACAUGCAAGUCGAGCGGCUCGGCGGCCGGGUGCGUAAUGCCUAGGUAUCUGCCUGGUCGUGGGGGAUAACGUCCGGAAACGGGCGCUAAUACCGCAUCCUAUCAGAUGAGCCUAGGUCGGAUUAGCUAGGUGGUGGGGUAAAGGCCUACCAAGGCGACGAUCCGUAACUGGUCUGAGAGGAUGAUCAGUCACACUGGAACUGAGACACGGUCCAGACUCCUACGGGAGGCAGCAGUGGGGAAUAGUGGACAAUGGGCGAAAGCCUGAUCCAGCCAUGCCGCGUGUGUGAAGAAGGUCUUCGGAUUGUAAAGUACUUUCAGCGGGGAGGCGUUACCCGCAGAAGAAGCACCGGCUAACUACGUGCCAGCAGCCGCGGUAAUAC